GGCCUCGUAGCUCAAUGGACAGAGCAACCUCAUGGCGACGGGGCAGAUGCGGGUUCGAGUCCCGCCGAGGCCG
rnacentral:tRNA from 1 species